rnacentral:snoRNA from 1 species
AGCUCGAUGAUUAUAUGCCCUAGGGCAAUAUACGCUAUGCUGAGAUUUAAUCUUUGAAGAGCGACCAAUAAGAUGAGAGCU